rnacentral:lncRNA from 1 species
CUGCUGGGCAGGCGGGCAGCCCCGGAGAUUCCGCAGUCCCCCCAGGAGGUUCAAGAGCCACUGAUCAGGAUAAGCGCUGCCGGAGGAACAAACCCAGAGAGAAAUGUUCCCGGGGACUCCCUCCACUGAGCUGGCGCACUCCUAACAGCAGCCAUCAGUUUGGGGACCCCGGACAGCCCGGGGAUCCCGAAGGCCGCGAGGAC